UAAACUUAAUAAUUUGACGGUUAAUAUUUCAUAAAGGAACUUGUAAUUUAAUCGAUAUUACACGAUCUAUUUCACUUAUAUUGAUCUUGUAUAUCUCCGUAUAGAUUUUAUUAAAGAUUAUUAUCUAAAAAAUUAUUAUUUUUAUAUCAGGUCAAGGUGCAGUAUAUAUAAGUUAUUAUGUGUUACAUUAAAAAAUUAAUUUUUGAUUAAAUUUGAAAAAGUUAAUGAAAAUGAAUUUAUAAGUAAAAAAAAAUAUAAUAUUUUUUUGAAAAAUAAGUAUUCAUGUACACAU
rnacentral:rRNA from 1 species